UGUGGAGCCUGCUUCUCCCUCUGCCUGUGUCUCUGCCUCUCUCUCUGUCUCUCUCAUGAAUAAAUAAAUAAAAUCUUAAGAAAAAAAAGGAAGGCACAGGUUGAAUGUAGAAGCUGAAGAUGGCUGGGAGAUGGUGCGUGUGGGUGCAUUGGAAGGUCAUCUCCUUGAGUAGGCACUGUGUCCUUCCUAUCCUUUUUCUCCUCCCCUUCCUUUUUCAAUAUUUAUCAUUUUAUCACUUGAAUCCAGACAUACUGAAUAUAGAAUAUGGAAUACGAACUGGAAUAUGGAAUACAAGACAGAAUCUGCACUCAGAGAGCUCAUGGUCUAAUGGAGACACCGUAUAAUUAACCUGAGUAUAGGUAUCAGGCAGGGAGAACCGUGACCUCUGCAGGGUAGUGAAGAAGCUGUCUUGAAGCAGAGGCACUAUGCCAGAAAGCUAUGGUGGCUAAAAGCAGAUAAGACCCAGACUGUGGAGGGCUUGAAUUCCUGCCCAGAAAGUUGGGCUUUUACGCUAAGCCAUGGCAAUGUAACAGAAAGAGGAGAGGCUAGAAGAAGACUCAUGUCUUUGUGCCAGAAAUGAGUCUCUGCACUGAUGUGUUGAACUCUUUGAACCCAACUAUGGCGAAUUCUCCAACACCACUGCUGCCUUUCUCUACACACAACGAUUCCUGGAGGGAUUUAGCAAGGAUAGCCAUAUUGGCCAUUAGGGUCACAGGGCAUUCCAAAUGCUUUAAUGUGGUCUCUGUAAGUUUAAGGAUGAAGAGCCCAAAUAGAAGCUAGAGACAGAACAGGCUGUCUGACUUCCAUAAGGUUGAGGGGUUUUUGUCAUUUUCUGAAGAUAAGCAUGUGACUUUUUUCUUUUCUUUUUUAGCUCCCUAUGAUAAAGGUCAAAAAUUAAAAAAAAAAUGUAACAGACAGCAUAGAAGGGAGAGCAGGAAGCCAGUUUAGUAUCAAAAAACAAAACAACAAAACUAGAGGAAUUAUUUAACAGACUCUAUGUGUGCAAAACUCAAAGCCUCCAGGCAAUAUAUAGGGGCUUAUAAAGUAUGCUUCUUAUCUGAUAUGAGAACUCUUCUUGGUUGAUACUAAGCUAUAGAAACAGACAUUUAUAAAUGUGCAAGAGUAUAUGUAGAAGUGUUAGUUACAGCACUAUUUGUAAUUGAAAGGGGAAAAGAAGAAAGAAGGAAGGGAGGGAGGGAAGGAAAGAAGGAAGGAAGGCCUUAGAUGCCUAUCAAAAAGGGAACUAUUUAAACCAAUUAUGAUACACUUAUAAAAUGGAAUUCUAAUCAUGGAGAACCUGGGUGAUGCAGUCAGGUAUCCAACUCUUAGUUUUGGUUCAGGUCGUGAUCUCAGGGUUGUGAGGUUGAGUGCUGCAUCGGGCUCCAUGCUCAGCUCAGAGGCUGCUUGGGAUGCUCUCUCCCUCUGCCCCUCUCCCCCUCUCAAAUAAGCAAAUCUAUUUUAAAAAAAUGGAAUUCUAUGUGGCAGCUUUUAACUAUGAUAAAACUAUGUAUUAGUGUUCUAGAGCUGCCAUUACAGGUACCACAGACGGGGUGUCUUAAGCAGUUUUCUCACAAUUCCAGAGGCUAGAAGUUCAAGUUCAAGGAUUUGGUAGGUUUGGUUUCUUCUGAGGCUUCCCUUCAAGGCUUGGAACUGUUAUCCUUGUGCCUUCACAGGGUCUUUCUUCUGUACAAAUCUGUGUCCUGUUUUCUUCUCUUUAUAAAGACACCCGGCAUAUUGGAUUAGGGACCCUAGUGACCACAUUUUAACUUAAUCACUCCUAUUUCUAAAUACAGUGACCUUUGGAGGUACUGGGGGUUAGGACUUCGACAUGAAUUUUGGGGGAAACAAUUUUUAGCCUGUAACAGGCUACAUGUACUCAUAUGGAAAAGUAUCCAAUAUUGUUAAAAGUAAUAUUGAAGAUCAGUAUAAUGAGUAUGAUUCCAUUUUGAAAAUAAAUAAUGUAUAUAUGAUA